UACGGAGGGUGCAAGCGUUAUCCGGAUUCACUGGGUUUAAAGGGUGCGUAGGUGGGCAGGUAAGUCAGUGGUGAAAUCUCCGGGCUUAACUCGGAAACUGCCAUUGACUACUAUCGUCUUGAAUACCGUGGAGGUUAAGCUGGAAUAUGUCAUGUAGCGGUGAAAUGCUUAGAUAAUGACAUAGAACACCAAUUGCGAAGGCAGCUGGC
rnacentral:rRNA from 1 species